GAUCCAGUGACAAAACAACGAAUUGGAAUUGGAGUCAAAAUGUAUAGAGAAAUGUAGAAAGUGCAGCUAGAGUUUUAUAAAGUUUUUGUAUUCUGGUUUUAUUCAGAUUCAGUAGACCAGAUAAUGUCUGAAACACAUGAACUUAAAGGUUCUACAGUUGCUGUGGACUUCAUGACUCCAAACGUGUCUUAUUUAAUGUGCUACUUCCAACUUGUAUUGAAAAUUGAAUUCUCUGUUAAGGUGAUGGUAGACCUGCAUGUUCCGCCUGAGAUAAUUUGUUUAUGCAAAUGGUAGUAGUUGUGUUUGUUAUAUAGGAGUAAUGCUUCGUUAGCAUUUUAAAAACAAAUUUCCUUAUUGGCUAAAAUGGCAAAACAAAGAGAUAAAAUGUUCUGUCU